AAACUGCGAAUACCGGAGAAUGUUAUCACGGGAGACACACGGCGGGUGCUAACGUCCGUCGUGAAGAGGGAAACAACCCAGACCGCCAGCUAAGGUCCCAAAGUCAUGGUUAAGUGGGAAACGAUGUGGGAAGGCCCAGACAGCCAGGAUGUUGGCUUAGAAGCAGCCAUCAUUUAAAGAAAGCGUAAUAGCUCACUGGUCGAGUCGGCCUGCGCGGAAGAUGUAACGGGGCUAAACCAUGCACCGAAGCUGCGGCAGCGACGCUUAUGCGUUGUUGGGUAGGGGAGCGUUCUGUAAGCCUGUGAAGGUGUGCUGUGAGGCAUGCUGGAGGUAUCAGAAGUGCGAAUGCUGACAUAAGUAACGAUAAAGCGGGUGAAAAGCCCGCUCGCCGGAAGACCAAGGGUUCCUGUCCAACGUUAAUCGGGGCAGGGUGAGUCGACCCCUAAGGCGAGGCCGAAAGGCGUAGUCGAUGGGAAACAGGUUAAUAUUCCUGUACUUGGUGUUACUGCGAAGGGGGGACGGAGAAGGCUAUGUUGGCCGGGCGACGGUUGUCCCGGUUUAAGCGUGUAGGCUGGUUUUCCAGGCAAAUCCGGAAAAUCAAGGCUGAGGCGUGAUGACGAGGCACUACGGUGCUGAAGCAACAAAUGCCCUGCUUCCAGGAAAAGCCUCUAAGCAUCAGGUAACAUCAAAUCGUACCCCAAACCGACACAGGUGGUCAGGUAGAGAAUACCAAGGCGCUUGAGAGAACUCGGGUGAAGGAACUAGGCAAAAUGGUGCCGUAACU
rnacentral:rRNA from 1 species